AGAGCGAACGCUGGCGGCAUGCUUAACACAUGCAAGCCGCACGGUCAGCAAUGGCAGUGGCGGACGGGUGAGUAACACGUAGGAAUCUAUCCCGGGGUGGGGGACAACAGUGGGAAACUGCUGCUAAUACCGCAUGAUACCUGAGGGUCAAAGGCGCAAGUCGCAUUGGGAGGAGCCUGCGUCUGAUUAGCUUGUUGGUGGGGUAAAGGCCUACCAAGGCUACGAUCAGUAGCUGGUCUGAGAGGAUGAUCAGCCACAUUGGGACUGAGACACGGCCCAAACUCCUACGGGAGGCAGCAGUGGGGAAUAUUGGACAAUGGGGGAAACCCUGAUCCAGCAAUGCCGCGUGUGUGAAGAAGGUCUUCGGAUUGUAAAGCACUUUUGGCAGGGACGAUGAUGACGGUACCUGCAGAAUAAGCCCCGGCUAACUUCGUGCCAGCAGCCGCGGUAAUACGAAGGGGGCUAGCGUUGCUCGGAAUGACUGGGCGUAAAGGGCGCGUAAGCGGCAUACACAGUCAGAAGUGAAAUUCCUGGGCUCAACCUGGGGACUGCUUUUGAUACGUGUGAGCUAGAGUGAAGAAGAGGGUUGUGGAAUUUCCAGUGUAGAGGUGAAAUUCGUAGAUAUUGGAAAGAACACCGGUGGCGAAGGCGGCAGCCUGGUCUUUAACUGACGCUGAGGCGCGAAAGCGUGGGGAGCAAACAGGAUUAGAUACCCUGGUAGUCCACGCUGUAAACGAUGUGUGCUGGAUGUUGGGGAACUUAGUUUCUCAGUGUCGUAGCUAACGCGAUAAGCACACCGCCUGGGGAGUACGGCCGCAAGGUUG
rnacentral:rRNA from 1 species